rnacentral:rRNA from 1 species
GACGAACGCUGGCGGCAUGCCUAACACAUGCAAGUCGAACGAGACGUUCGGGUCUUUUGGCGCACGGCUGCGUAACGCGUGGGAACCUGCCCUUGGGUUCGGCAUACCUCAGAGAAAUUUAAGCUAAUGCCAGAUGAGGUCUUCUGACCAAAGAUUUAUUGCCUUUCGAUGGGCCCUCGUGGGAUUCGCUUGUUGUAGGGGUAAUGGCCUGCUAAGGCGGCGAUCCAUAGCUGGUCUGGGAGCAUGAUCAGCCACACUGAGACAGGGACACGGCCCAGACUGCUAGGAGAGGCAGCAGGGGGGAAUAAGGGACAGGGGGCGAGAGACUGAGCCAGCAAGGCCGCGAGAGUGGUGAAGGCGUUAGGAAUGUAUAGCUCAUUUACCCGAGAUGAUAAGAAGGGAAUCGGUAGAAAAGGCACGGCCAAACUCCUU